rnacentral:rRNA from 1 species
GACGAACGCUGGCGGCGUGCUUAACACAUGCAAGUCGUACGGUAAGGCCCUUUCGGGGGUACCCGAGUGGCGAACGGGUGAGUAACACGUGAGUAACCUGCCCACAACUUUGGGAUAACGCUAGGAAACUGGUGCUAAUACUGGAUAUGUGCUCCUGCUGCAUGGUGGGGGUUGGAAAGCUCCGGCGGUUGUGGAUGGACUCGCGGCCUAUCAGCUUGUUGGUGGGGUAGUGGCCUACCAAGGCGGCGACGGGUAGCCGGCCUGAGAGGGUGACCGGCCACAUUGGGACUGAGAUACGGCCCAGACUCCUACGGGAGGCAGCAGUGGGGAAUAUUGCACAAGGGGCGCAAGCCUGAUGCAGCAACGCCGCGUGCGGGAUGACGGCCUUCGGGUUGGAAACCGCUUUCAGCAGGGACGAAGCUUUUUGUGACGGUACCUGCAGAAGAAGCACCGGCUAACUACGUG